CACUUUGUCUUUAUGGCAAAUGUGAGAUGCAGUGUAUGGAAUGUCAAAUAUCUGGUAUGAGAAAUUAAUGAUUUAAGUCCUUCUUAAAUGAGGCCAUUUACCCAUAGAGGGUGCCAGGCCCGUAUAACAUUAAUGAUUACUAGAUGGCAUUUCCAAAGAGUCGUGUUGCUUGAUAGUGCAGCACUAAGUGGGUGGUAAACUCCAUCUAAAACUAAAUAUAACCAUGAGACCGAUAGUAAACAAGUACCGUGAGGGAAAGUUGAAAAGAACUCUGAAUAGAGAGUUAAAUAGUACGUGAAACUGCUUAGAGGUUAAGCCCGAUGAACCUGAAUAUCCAAUAUAGAAAAUUCAUCAUUAUGACUCUAAUAUUUAUAAAUAUUAUAAUAAUAGUGUGCAUUUUUUCUAUAGAGGACAUUGUAAUCUAUUGGUAUGAAUGAAAUUUAUUAUAAGAUCGAUUGCGUAAGUUUAUUCAAAUUAUUUUGCUUGCAAUUUAACAUAGAAUAAAUGCUCUUGAUUUGAUAAAGUGUUGAUAGAUUUAUUAUAUAUAGUGCUUGAAUAUUUUAAUAUUCUAUAAUAGCAUAUUAAUUAUUAAUUAUUAUGUUUAUUUUAUGCACUUAUAUGAUUAACAAUGCGAAAGAUUCAGGAUACCUUCGGGACCCGUCUUGAAACACGGACCAAGGAGUCUAACAUAUUUGCAAGUUAUUGGGAAUAAAAACCUAAUAGCGAAAUUAACAUAACUUUAAUCUAUUGGGAUUAGUUUUUAGCCUAUUUAUAGUCUAUUAAUUCAAUCCCGGGGCGUUCUAUCGUUAUGUAUAAUGAUAUUUAUAUUAUUUAUACCUCUAACUAGAGCGUACCUUGAGCAUAUAUGCUGUGACCCGAAAGAUGGUGAACUAUACUUGAUCAGGUUGAAGUCAGGGGAAACCCUGAUGGAAGACCGAAACAGUUCUGACGUGCAAAUCGAUUGUCAGAAUUGCAGUAUAGGGCG
rnacentral:rRNA from 1 species